CCUACGGGGGGCAGCAGUGGGGAAUAUUGGGCAAUGGCCGAAAGGCUGACCCAGCGACGCCGCGUGUGGGAGGAAGCCCUUCGGGGUGUAAACCACUGUCAGGAGGGACGAAAGAUUUGCAGGCGAACAGUCUGCGGAAGUGACGGUACCUCCAAAGGAAGCACCGGCUAACUCUGUGCCAGCAGCCGCGGUAAUACAGAGGGUGCAAGCGUUGUUCGGAAUUACUGGGCGUAAAGCGCGCGCAGGCGGAUCCUGUAAGUCGGAAGUGAAAUUUCGGGGCUCAACUCCGAAGCUGCUUCUGAUACUGCGGAUCUGGGGACCGGUAGAGGCUGGUGGAAUUGCAGGUGUAGCGGUGGAAUGCGUAGAGAUCUGCAAGAACACCCGUGGCGAAGGCGGCCAGCUGGGCCGGGUCCGACGCUGAGGCGCGAAAGCGUGGGGAG
rnacentral:rRNA from 1 species